GGAACAUCCAGUCCUGUGAGUCAGAGCGCUUCGGUGGCGCUUUCAGCGGCUGCUUCUGCCUCGCAACCGGCCCUGGUGCGUGUGCAGUUCUCAGGAGCAACUUGGGAGCUCCAGGCACAGGUCCCAGCUGCUGUGGUAGCUCUUUGAGGAGAUCAUCCAUUUCCUAGUGUCAGCAGGGCGAUCCCAGGGAUAACUUGGUGUUCCCUGAAUUGGAUGUGUACUUCUGGUGCCCGAAGGAUCAUCUUAGGCAUAGCACUGGAAAAGUCAGGAAUAAUCAAAAGAUAAGAGCACCAAGUGGGAGGAAGCUGGAAGGACAAUUUUUAGAUUUGACCUUGGGUUCCAGUUCUCAUGGUGGGUCUGUGGUGUCAAAGUACACCUGUACUCUGUGGUGCUGGGGUACCUGUUUGUUCAUGUUUUGAGCUUGGAAGACACACUGGACAUGAAAUUCCAGGGAAGCUGCACUUGCAGUAGUGGCUGGAGCAAGAAGAAGUGGAAGCUGUUUGCUAUCUGCUUGUUCUCCACCUUCAGCUCUGUUUCCUGGGUCUCAGGAAUUGUCUCAUUGUACAGUCUGUGGCGUAACACUUUCCGUGCAAGGAUAAUUGCAGUGGAAGAAGGCAGUUGGAGCCAAGAGCCUGGACUAGGAUGCCCUAGGCCCCUGCCAAGCGCAGGUUACAAAACAGCAAAAAAAAGUCAACAAAAACAAAACAUGUCAACAGACUGGGAGUAGCACAGAAGAUAUACAAAAGAUAAUGACCAGUAAUGAUCAUUAAUGAUCAUCAACUCCAAACAUCACCCCUGGUGAUGGAGUUGGAGACACCUGGUCUGGAAAAGACUCAUAAGAACACCAAGGAAUGAGCAAUAAAUUAGCAUCGGUGGGAAGACA
rnacentral:lncRNA from 1 species